rnacentral:rRNA from 1 species
GACUACUGGGGUAUCUAAGCCUGUUUGCUCCCCACGCUUUCGCUCCUCAGCGUCAGGAAACGUCCAGAGAACCGCCUUCGCCACCGGUGUUCCUCCUGAUAUCUGCGCAUUCCACCGCUCCACCAGGAAUUCCGUUCUCCCCUACGUUCCUCAAGUCUGCCCGUAUCGAGAGCAGGCUCAGGGUUAAGCCCUGAGUUUUCACUCCCGACGCAACAGACCGCCUACGAGCUCUUUACGCCCAAUAAUUCCGGACAACGCUUGCGCCCUACGUAUCACCGCGGCUGCUGGCACGUAGUUAGCCGGCGCUUCUUCUGCUACUACCGUCACUUUCACUUCGUCGUAGCUGAAAGCGGUUUACAACCCGAAGGCCGUCAUCCCGCACGCGGCGUUGCUGCGUCAGGCUUUCGCCCAUUGCGCAAUAUUCCCCACUGCAGCCCCCCGUAGG